UGCAGCAUCAAUCACCAAAUUCUCUCAAUCCCUCAAACCGAAAACAAGUGCAGCAUCAAUCACCAAAUUUUGUCUCUCGUUUUCAGUCUCUGAGUUUCUAGGGCUUCAUCCCUGAGAUUUGAUUUGGUUUGGUUUAUUGUGUUUGAGUCACAGAAGCGAAAAUGAGCCGCGGAGCUGUUACCGGAGGCAAGGGGAGGAAGGGAGCUUCCUUCGUGAUUGACUGCGGGAAGCCGGUGGAGGAUAAGAUUAUGGACAUGACAUCGCUGGAGAAGUUCCUCCAAGGUCGGAGCUCUCGGUGAUUCUAUUACCGUCUCUCGUGAGAUGAACAAGAUUACCGUCACUUCUCCAAGAGUAUCAUGACUGGACCUAAAAUUGGGAGGUUUCUCUCGAAUGACUCUAAUAAGGUUGAUGAACCAUUCAAAGUUGAGGAAGCAGAGACUAUUCAAGUUCCCCCUCCUCCAACAGAGAAGAGAAGCAUUAGAUCGUGGACUGUCUGUUGCUAGCCUGAGCAGUUUGUGCUGAUUAGGUUCGCGGUGCUAAGGACAAGACCCUCAAGGUGAAGGGACCAGUGAGGAUGCCUACAAAAGUUCUGCACAUUACCACCAGGAAGUCUCACUGUCCAGAAGGUACCAACACAUGGGAUAGUUCAUAGGAACUGUACGUCAAUAUGCCCUUACAUGUGAGGUGAAAGUGACUGGCUGUGAUGGACAAGAGGUUAAAGGUUGUCCCUGAUGUGACAGAGGAAGUGAAAGACUUUGGUGAAGUUGUUGGCUCUUAUAGCCAGUUGCAAAAACAACACAAAUCGAUGAUGUAACUCCAUGUACCCACCACCAUCCGAUUGAGCUAUCCACAUAUACCUAAGAAAAAUACUGUCAGAUAUCAGAAUUAAAGUUGUUGAUAUUGAAAUUCAAACCCUUGUAUUGAUUCCUGCUGCUUCGAUCACGGAUGAGAUUCAAGAUGCUAUUGGAUAUUGUAUUAGUUGACUAAUGAAGGAGCUUAGAAACGCAGAGCUCAUGCGAAAAUCAUAAUUCUGGUUGUUUAUAUAUGGAGUUUCG